CGGACCCAAUCCAAUAGCCUUCAUGGAAGCACUGCUCCCACCUGAGUCGUGCGUGAGGGAAGGUUGAGGAUGCUGUUGUAAGCCAACAUACCCUGUAUGAAUGCCGAAGAUGAGUGGGUGUAAGACUUUCAUCUAACCCCUCCCUAGCUCUCACUUUACGGUAGUUAUUCAAAAAGCAGGUGGAAAAAAUGCGUCACUUCCAGGAUCUUGUUCCUUUUGCCUGAAGCAGCUUUUUAUUUGAGGGCUAUGAAAAACAGCCAUCAUGCCAAAUGGUUUGGAGAAACAUCAACAACCUGGAAGUUGUAUAUAAAAUGAAGACAAGCUACAUUAAAAAAAAAAAAAAGGCUUCAAAUUUUGAAAACUUGAUUGCUGUAAAACACUUGGAACGAACGAAGAGGUUUCAAAGCAGAGAUGGGCACUAAAUAACUUCCAGUUAAAGUGUCUCUGGAAAUCACUGCACAGCAAAAACGUUUUGCCAAUAAAAUCCCUCUUUCAAAAAGCAGCCCCAUCCUGCUCUCCACCAGGGACCUGAUACUACAGAUACCAACAACCAGACUGCC